rnacentral:rRNA from 1 species
UGCGUAGGUGGCAGAUCAAGUCUGGAGUAAAAGGUAUGGGCUCAACCCGUACUGGCUCUGGAAACUGAUCAGCUAGAGAACAGAAGAGGACGGCGGAACUCCAUGUGUAGCGGUAAAAUAGCGUAGAUAUAUGGAAGAACACCGGUGGCGAAGGCGGCCGUCUGGUCUGGAUUCUGACACUGAAGCACGAAAGCGUGGGGAGCAAAUA